rnacentral:rRNA from 1 species
UACGAAGGGGCUAGCGUUGCUCGGAAUCACUGGGCGUAAAGCGCACGUAGGCGGCGUCUUAAGUCAGGGGUGAAAUCCUGGAGCUCAACUCCAGAACUGCCUUUGAUACUGAGAUGCUUGAGUCCGGGAGAGGUGAGUGGAACUGCGAGUGUAGAGGUGAAAUUCGUAGAUAUUCGCAAGAACACCAGUGGCGAAGGCGGCUCACUGGCCCGGUACUGACGCUGAGGUGCGAAAGCGUGGGGAGCAACAGG